GGGGAUGUAGCUCUGUGGUAGAGCAUAAGCUUCGCAUGGAUGAGGUCCUGGGUUCAAUCCCCAGCAUCUUCA
rnacentral:tRNA from 1 species